CCUACGGGAGGCAGCAGUGAGGAAUAUUGGUCAAUGGCCGUAAGGCUGAACCAGCCAAGUCGCGUGAAGGAAGAAGGAUCUAUGGUUUGUAAACUUCUUUUAUAGGGGAAUAAAGGUAUCCACGUGUGGAUAUUUGCAUGUACCCUAUGAAUAAGCAUCGGCUAACUCCGGGCCAGCAGCCGCGGUAAUACGGAGGAUGUGAGCGUUAUCCGGAUUUAUUGGGUUAAAAGGGUGCGUAGGUUGUUUUUUAAGUCAGCGGGGAAAGUUUGUGGCUCAACCAUAAAAUUGCCGUUGAAACUGGAAGACUUGAGUGUGUUUGAGGUAGGCGGAAUGCGUGGUGUAGCGGUGAAAUGCAUAGAUAUCACGCAGAACUCCGAUUGCGAAGGCAGCUUACUAAGCCAUAACUGACAUUGAAGCACGAAAGCGUGGGGAUCAAACAGGAUUAGAUACCCCUGUAGUC
rnacentral:rRNA from 1 species